rnacentral:rRNA from 1 species
CGUGCCUAACACAUGCAAGUCAACUUGACUGAAGGAGCAAUCUGACAGUAGAGUGGCGCAAGGGUGCGUAACGCGUAAGUAACUUGCCCCAAGGUAAGGAAUAACGUCGAGAAAUCGGCGCUAAUACCUCAUAAUGCAGCGGAUCCACAUGGAUAUGUUGUUAAAGGUUAACCGCCUUGGGAUAGGCUUGCGUCUGAUUAGUUAGUUGGUGUGGUAACGGCACACCAAGGCUACGAUCAGUAACUGGUCUGAGAGGAUGAUCAGUCACACUGGAACUGAGACACGGUCCAGACUCCUACGGGAGGCAGCAGUGAGGAAUAUUGGGCAAUGCUCGAAAGAGUGACCCAGCAACGCCGCGUGGAGGAUGAAGGUAUUCUAUAUCGUAAACUCCUGUGAGAGCAGACGAAAGACAGAUUAUUAAUCUGGAUGACUGUAUGCUCAGAGGAAGCCCCGGCUAACUACGUG